AAGCAAGAGACUAUCGGGAAGAGGCGCCCAGGCGGAGAGCAGGAGGCCAUUCUGACUCAGGGUCCUUCCUGGCGGCGCGUGCAACCACUCAGCCAAGAUGGAUUCCAGCCAGGAGGAUUCUGGGAGGUUGGUAGGACAUGUGGACUGGCGUCUCCUCUCUCCUUUUGACCUUUCCCGUAUUCUUCUGGUUGGUGGUGGCUUGUUAGUACCGUGUUCCUUACCAGGAUCUCCUGUCGUAAAAUAAUUCAUGCAAAUUGCUACUGUCUUUGCCUGGCCAGGGUGGGCGGUUUCGGUCAGUGUUCCCCCUAACACUUGAAGAGGCAGCAUUUUAGCCUCACUCUUUUGCCGAUAGCCUUGUUUAAUUCACAGUACUUACAACAGGAGCUUGUGCUGAGAAGACCUCAUAAUAGGAAACCAAGAGAUGAGGGAUUCUUUGUCGACGGUUCCCAAUUUACAAUCAGGUUCUCUUUCAAGAGCAUGUGGGUUUGCAUUUCCCCAUAGAAAUAAUGUUCUAGGUGAGAGGAAGUAGAGAGGCAGGGCCUGCCAGGUUUUGGGGUGAUGGAGGGUGGGACCCUCCCUCCAGGGCCUGCGGCUGGCUGUGCUGGGAGGGAGGAACUGGGAUCCCCCCAGCCCUACUCUGGGGUUUCUCCAGGCUGUGUGGUUGCCAGUAGCUGAUUCUUAAUAAUUUAGAUUCUUAAUAAUUUAGAUCUUUAUGCUUUGAAGACAGAAGUUAAGAGAAACAAAGGAUUUGAAAGCAUGUUUUAUAAACUGUUUCUUAAAGACAUUUCAAGAGAAAACCACUUGUAAAGAAAUUAUUUCCUUACCCUAUUUACUUCUUUCAACCAGUAAGUACCUGCCUACCUCAGGGGGUUAUUGGUAACACGAAGCAAGGGGUGUGUGUGUGUGUGUGUGUGUGUGUGUGUGUGUGUGAGAGAGAGAGAGAGAGAGAGAGAGAGCGCGAGCACUUUGUUGACUGCAAGGCACUGGGGAAAUGCAAGGUGGCAUGAUUUUCAUUACGAUAGUCUCAGCCAACAGGCUCAGUCCCCAAGAUGACAAAUCAAUCUUAAACACACAGUUUGAAAAGGAGCAGGGUGAAAAUUUCUGCUCAAACCCCUUAUGAUUUAAGCUGAUGAGAACUUCGGAAAGAGCCAAGCUGCACUGCUGAAGACUUGAAUAAGAGGGGAAAUUUAACCCAGAUAAGGACAAGUAAUAACGCUUUAGAGGAAACAUUAAACACGCUAUUAGACCUGAAUGGCUUGUUAGCUUCUGAUGCAUCAAAUCGUCAGAGAGCAGGUGUAGCAGAGAAAAGGUAAGCUGGGCAGGGAGGCUGGACCUCUGUAACCUGGCUAAGGGACUGCAUGGGGACCCAGGACACCAUAGAGGGUCAGCAACCAUUUGCCAGGACUGAGUGGUUUCCUGGGCUGUGGGACUUUGAGUGCUAAAAUGAUGAAAGUCCUAGGUAAAUCAAGAGUUGGUCGCCUUAAGACCACAGCAGCUGUCUCUGGUGCUCUCUGGGAUGAACAAGCCAUGUAACUUCCCCAUACCUUCUUUCCUCUGUUCAUAAGUGAAGUUAUCCUGUGUUCCUCUUCCACAGGGGAAUUCCCCUUCCUUAGCAAAUACCACUAAAUUUCACCACCCCAAUGCCAGAACAAAGAUGCCGCAGUGUUGUUUUUUCUUUUUUUUUUAAUUUGUGGGAAAACCCAUAAACAUAGGAUACUUAUGAGUUAAAAGCUUCCAGACAAGUUAGGAGUCGGUUGUCAAUGGUAGGACCUGGAAUUGUGAAAGAAAGCUUCAGACAUGUGAUUCCAUGGGAUCUCCUGAGGAUAAAUAUGAGGUCAGAGGAAAGGGAGAAGAAGCUAGUACAAAGCAGAUAGGGUACUCUUUCCAGAAAGAAGUCAGUGCUGGGAAAUUCUGUGGACACAGUCCAGGGAAAUUGCCAAGGUGGAAUUCAGGUUAACUGUAAGGAGAACAGUUUUGUCUGGAAGCUAAGCAGAAUCCAGGACCCUGAAAAGACCUAACUUUUCUGAGGGUCUAGAGAGGCUGAAAAAAGUAGAUUUGGCUUUAAACUGGAGGAUGGACUGUGGAAGGACAGAAUGAUUGAAAGGAUCAAGCUACUGAAGGACCAUCAGAGAAAGAAGUGAGAAGGAGGGGCUGGAACUUGUUUGCAGUCUGAGUGGGGUAAUGUGAAAUUAUGCACCUGGAACUUCUCAAUCUGUACAGUUUAUAUGCUGAGACCUCCCUGUACUGCAGGCUCAGAAUCAGGCAGGUAAUUGUGCUACCCACUGCAACAAGCAUGCAGAAGGGAUGUGUGAGAGCAAAGAAUUAAGUCAAAACUGUGGGGUGCUCUCUAUAUAAAUGCAGUAGUUAUUCAGAGAAGGGACUCUGGAGUCCCGGACAAGAAGACAGCCUUCCCGUGGUUGUUAAAAGAUGGUCAGAGAGAAAGAAGGAUGGCUUUCCAGGUAGCGGAAUAGCCAAAGCAAAGCUACAGAAUGUGUUUGUUUAAAAGUAGAGAAGACUGGGCUUCCCUGGUGGCGCAGUGGUUGAGAGUCCGCCUGCCGUUGCAGGGGACGCGGGUUCGUGCCCCGGUCUGGGAAGAUCCCACAUGCCGCGGAGCGGCUGGGCCCGUGAGCCAUGGCCGCUGAGCCUGCGCGUCCGGAGC